CUCAGCUCAGAGGACACUGAGACACUUGCGGAUGAGAUCAAGGCUCUCAAGGAAGAAAAUCAAAGACUUCGUGAACAGCAAAGUGGAGAAUCUUCUGCAGCCACCAAAGACCUCGAGAGCCAACUCAAGGCUUUGAAUAAAGAAAACACAAGGCUGCGCAAAAUAGCAGUAAAGGAAAUCCCAUCACUUCUGGCGGCUGUCAGGACCCUCAUUGCGGACAAGGUCACCAGCAGCUCCAGCUAUGAAGGGGAAAGUGAAUAUGAGGCCAGUGCUGCUACACCAUCAUCUGCUACACCAUCACCUCCUCAACCCACAUCUCCCACACCUCCCAAACCAACAACAGUGAAACUAGGGAAUGAUGACUCCACCAGAGUGUCUGCCCAUUGUUGGGAGACCGC